UUGGCACCUCGAUGUCGGCUCAUCACAUCCUGGGGGUGGAGAAGCUCCCAAGGGUUCGGCUGUUCGCCGAUGAAAGUGGUACGUGAGCUGGGUUUAGACCGUCGUGAGACAGGUCGGUCCCUAUCUGCUGCGGGCGGACGAGACUCGCGGGGCUUCCGCCCUAGUACGAGAGGACUGGGCGGGACGCACCCCUGGUGUGCCGGUUGUGGCGCUAGCCGCACCGCCGGGUAGCCACGUGCGGAACGGAUAAACGCUGAAGGCAUAUAAGCGUGAAACUCCCCCCUAGAUCAGGUCUCGGUCCGUAAGGUGAAGGCUCCCGGGAGACGACCGG
rnacentral:rRNA from 1 species